UGUCAGCCGAGACCCCAAACUUCUCUCUGUUCGCAAGAUCAACUCCAAGCAAAUCCAAACUUCCCGUGAUUCCCUGCUUCCGGAUUCCUCCCAUCCGCGUGUCUUCCCUCUUCCGAACCAAACCAUCUAACAGCCAUAUCCACCGUUCCCAAGCUUCAUCCCAACGGCAUUAUCACCUUCCUCUUGUUCUGGACUCCUUCCGUUCACAAACAAAAUCCCAGUUCCCCUGUUCCGAGUUCAUCUUUUCAACCAUGAACCAAAUCCCAACAUCCCAACAGCUUCCGGAUCACUUCACAGCCAUUCCCAAGCUUCCUUUCUUCCGGAUUGAAUCCAGUAUCCACUGAUAGCUUCAAAUCCCAGUGAAUCCUAUCUUCCCAGAAUUUCUUCCAACCGGGAACAUCAUCCGAACCUUAUCAUCCCCUGCUUCAAGAUCAGCUCAAAUCCUCCGCACCAGCCGCAUCCAAGA
rnacentral:lncRNA from 1 species